UUCUUCUUCUUCUCUUUGGCAAGCUUUUUUUCUUUUUUUCGUGCCUUUUUCUCACUCGUGCUCGUCGGAAUUUUCUUCAAGCGUGGCAAGCCAGCCUGA
rnacentral:ribozyme from 10 species